rnacentral:misc_RNA from 1 species
UACAGAGGGUGCGAGCGUUAAUCGGAAUUACUGGGCGUAAAGCGCACGCAGGCGGUCUGUCAAGUCGGAUGUGAAAUCCCCGGGCUUAACCUGGGAACUGCAUCCGAAACUGGCAGGCUAGAGUGUGGUAGAGGGGGGUAGAAUUCCAGGUGUAGCAGUGAAAUGCGUAGAGAUGUGGAGGAAUACCGAUGGCGAAGGCGGCCCCCUGGACAAAGACUGACGCUCAGGUGCGAAAGCGUGGGGAGCAAACAGG